rnacentral:rRNA from 1 species
UACGUAGGUGGCAAGCGUUGUCCGGAUUUACUGGGCGUAAAGGGCGCGUAGGCGGCCACCGCAAGUCGACUGUGAAAUCUCCGGGCUUAACCCGGAACGGUCAGCCGAUACUGCGGGGCUAGAGUGCAGAAGGGGCAACUGGAAUUCUCGGUGUAGCGGUGAAAUGCGUAGAUAUCAGGAAGAACACCCGUGGCGAAGGCGGCUCUCUGGGACGGUACUGACGCUGAGGAGCGAAAGCGUGGGGAGCGAACAGG